rnacentral:tRNA from 1 species
GCCGAGGUGGUGGAAUUGGUAGACGCAGCGGACUCAAAAUCCGCCGAGCUUAUGCUCGUGAGGGUUCGAAUCCCUCCCUCGGCA